GUCCGAACGUGGUGGUAUUUCUGCACGGGUUUCCAGAGAUAUGGUACUCAUGGCGUUACCAGAUGAUAGCUCUUGCUGAAGCUGGAUUCAGAGCGAUUGCACCAGAUUAUAGAGGAUAUGGUCUUUCUGACUCGCCACCUCAGCCUGAUAAGGCUAACUUCUCUGACCUUCUCACUGACCUCCUUGGAAUUCUUGAUGCACUCUCUCUUUCUAAGGUGUCCUUUACUUCAUCAUCACAUAUUUCUCCAACAUUUAAACUUUAUACACAAUCACAAUCACAAUCACUGUAUCAUUUACAAUUCUUUUGUAUUAUUACAUUUUUUGAAGAAUAUAACUUCAACAAUGUGGAUAACACAGUGACAGUGUAAAAUGCAUACACACUCGGUGCAUGUAUUUUUUCUCUCAUAAACUAAUACCAAACGUAUCAAAAUGUGAAUGUAGCAAUAAAUACUGCAAUGGUUCUGUUACCUGAGAAAUUAUUACAUGGUUCACCACUAACUUUUUUGAUCAAAUCCUCAUCAUUUAUUUAAUAAUUUAAAAUUAUAUGAGCUUAUUCCAAAUCAAUGGUAAAUAUGUACGUGGUUGAUAGUAUUGUAUUGGUGAUGACUAUGUAAUAAUUUCUCCUUCUACACUAUGGACUCUACAUGACCAUAUUAUCUAUUUUAUCUUGUAAAUUUAAGGAGAAAUUAUUAUACUGUCCAUGAUCAAUGGUAUCAACCACAUAUUAGUAUAUUACCAUUGUGAACUCAAAAUAUAAUUUUGCUUAAUUUUUCCACAGAUAUCUUUAAUUCAAUGAUGAGUAUGUGUGGAAGCAAAGUCAUGUAGAAUGUAGUUAUGUUUGCCUCUUUAAGUGAAAUACAUGAUUCAUUGUUUCAAGUGUGAUUGAUCUUCUCCUCAUGUUCAUUGUGUUGCAUAUUGCAAUGUCGGUGUCAUAAAAGUGGCUGAGCUUGUAUGAUAUGCAUAUUUGAUGCUUAACUGAUUCCUGUCCUGAUUGCACGCUAGGUUUUUCUUGUUGGAAAAGAUUUUGGAGCUCUUCCGGCGCAUCUAUUUUCCAUUUUGCACCCUGAAAGGGUCUUGGGAGUUGUUACUCUGGGAAUUCCAUAUGUUCCACCUAGCCUCUCUAAGUAUGACAAAUACUUUCCUGAAGGCUUCUACAUAUUGAGAUGGAGGGUAAGCUUAAAACUCUUUGAUUCUAAUCUCAACCAUAAUGUCUAGUAACAUAAUCAUGAUUUUGUAUGUGUCUAUAUCAGAUACCUGGGAGGGCAGAAGCCGAUUUUGGACGUUUUGAUGCGAAGACUGUUGUGAAAAGGGUAUACAUCCUCUUCUCCGGUAGCGAGUUACCAAUAGCUAAUGAAAACCAGGAGAUCAUGGAUUUGGUGGAACCAUCUACCCCUCUCCCCUCUUGGCUAACCGAGGAAGAUCUUGCUGAAUAUGGAGCCUUGUAUGAGAAAUCUGGAUUCCAAACUGCAUUGCAGAUUCCAUAUAGGUGCUGUCAUUUUUCUUUAUUGUCUAUUUUAGUGAAAUGAUGUCUUACUAUAAAGCAUAGUCCCUUCUCCCUUGGCCUCUCAGAUUUUUCUAAUAUAUAGGUCAAUUAUUGUUAAUGGUAGAUCUGUUGGUAUUUGUAGGUCAUUUGGUGGAAAUUUUGACUUACCAGAUCCUGUACUCAAAGUUCCAUCACUUCUUAUAAUGGGUGGCAAGGAUUAUGUUAUCAAGUUUCCAGGGUUUGAGGAUUUAACAAAGGGUGAAAUGGCGAAACAGUUUGCUACUAAUCUGGAGAUUACAUUUAUCCCUGAGGGAUCCCAUUUUGUUCAAGAACAAUUUCCUGCACAAGUGAAUCAGCUUAUCCUUGCCUUCCUUGCCAAGCACACUUGAUUUUGAACUUUCAAGUCAAAAUUUACUCAUAAAUGGUUUAUGAGGAGUGUGAAGUGUUCACGGUAGGAGUUAAGAUAAAUAAGAUAAUAAAGUAUCUCAUUAUACUAGUAGAUAAUUUAUAGCUCUUGAAAAACGAUUUGAAUCUAGCUGGACAUUCAACAAUGUUUUAUUUAUUCAUUUUCUUUUGACUUGGCUUCUUUAUUUCUUCUUCUUCACUCACUCCCUCCCUUUCUUCAUGGUGACUGGCAAUGUUGGGUGAGGCGUUAAGGGGGAGGUGAUGGUGGGUGAGAAUGGACAGAGAUCAUGUAUCCUCAAUGAUAUUUCAUUCUCUAUCUUGGUCCAGUUACACAUUGUGACAUGAAUAAAAGAAAAAUUUUAAAAACAAAAAAAAGUAAUGUUUUGAUUAGUUUGGGAUAUGAAGUAUUACACCCUCGAGAAUACGAGAUCUUUAUUCACGGUAACAUUUUGCAUCUAACGUUAAGAAGUGACUCAAAAUGGAUGGACUAAUAUUUAAAAAAUAACUAAUUCAAUUCAAAAUCCAUAAAUCUAGAGAACAAAAAGUAAAAUCAACUUUAAUUUGUACAUCCGAAAAUGAAAAAAAAAUCAUAAAGUGGUCUUAUAUAAAUCUUUGAAAGUAGAAGACAAAAUCCAAACUUAGUGACAUACAAACCUUUAGAUUUAACUAAAAUGAAUGAAUGAGAUCAAUACUAACUCUAGAAGUAGCUUCUUGAUCCCUUCUCUUAAAAUAAAUCAGACAACGUCAAGGAGAUAAGACAAGAGUAUCUUGGAUUUAGAUUGUCUAACAUAAGUUUUCUAUAAUUUUGUAACACCCUCUUUUAUGAAAUAAGUUAGAAACUUAAAACAAAUCUGCCAUACACAAUAAGUAACUUAUUGAUCCUUUCUCUUGAAAAAUAUAUUUCAUAGGCAAUGUCAUAUUGAGAUAUGAGUAUAUGACAACUUUUAGAGUAAAUAACAUCUUCAUUCUUAUUUGGAUCUUGCACAUUGUUUUAUAAUUUAUUAUAAUUCCUCAUGAAAUAAAAAAGAACAUCAAUUUUUCUCACGUUGACAAACAUCAUUCUUGUCUAACCAACGGACGUUGGUUCAAGUGGUACAUAUUUGAUUCCCCUUAAGCAAGGUCUCGGGUUCGAGUCUUGUGGAUGAAAAAAAUAUUCGCUGGGAGAGUUAGUCUCACGUACCUGUGGAUGUUCCCAGCUCGGACAGGAUUGACUCCAAUGCGAGAAUACCUAGAGGAAACAAAUGAUUAGUUCCUUAACAAGGUAAUACAAAAAAAACUUAAUUUCUUUAUUAUAUUAAUUUGUUACUACAAUCAAACAAGAUGCAACUUGGUAAUUACAACAGCAACACACAAAAAAAUUUAAUUUCUUUCUUAUAUUAAUUUGUUACUACAAUCAAACAAGAUGCAAUUUAAUAAUUACAAUAGCAACACAAAGAAAAAAUUUAAUUUCUUUCUUAUAUUAAUUUGUUACUACAAUCAAACAAGAAGCAACUUGGUAAUUACAACAGCUACACAAAGGAAGAAAGGUCAAUAGAUAAGUACCACAUAAUAAUACACAAAACACAAUAUGAAAUAAUACUUUUAUAUUUUUAUUUAUUAUAAAAUCACAUUUUUAUUAUUGAAAAAUAUGAAAUAAAAUAACUUGUUUCUGUUAAUGGUGAAGAUACUUAUUCUGACUGUUGUGUAUUUAACAUUGAAAGAGAGAAGACACAGUGUCUCACUCCAACAACUGAAUCAAUGGAUCAAAUCCAACACAAGUUCGUCAAAGUUGAUUCUCUCAACCUCCACAUAGCUGAUAUCGGAACCGGUGAGUAAGAGAAUCCACCGCAUGCAAAUUCAUUUCAUUUUAUUCUAUCAAUCAAAAUCUCACGGUUGUUUCCGAUCGGUUUUUCAGGUCCGAACGUGGUGGUGUUUCUGCACGGGUUUCCAGAGAUAUGGUACUCAUGGCGUUACCAGAUGAUAGCUCUUGCUGAAGCUGGAUUCAGAGCGAUUGCACCAGAUUAUAGAGGAUAUGGUCUUUCUGACUCGCCACCUCAGCCUGAUAAGGCUAACUUCUCUGAUCUUCUCACUGACCUUCUUGGAAUUCUUGAUGCGCUCUCUCUUUCUA
rnacentral:lncRNA from 1 species